rnacentral:lncRNA from 1 species
CAAACGACAUUGACAUUUGUCUUUACCCAUGAAACCAUAACAUAUUAGAUAGUGAAAUUUAGAGAACUUACAUUGCAAGAUCUUCAAGUGCUGACACUGCUUCGCAGUAUAAGAUAUGAAUUCCGGAAACCAUAAUUAACCAUCUCACAUGGUCUGGCUUGUUAAGUCAAACUUUGUCUUUUAAAGCAACACCCAAAAGGUACAUAAUUUUCCCCUCUUUUCUUUCUCUCUUUUCUUUCUCUUCUUUGUGGGAAGGGAGGGU